rnacentral:rRNA from 1 species
UACAGAGGUGGCAAGCGUUGUUCGGAAUUACUGGGCGUAAAGGGCGCGUAGGCGGUCUUGUAAGUCUUGUGUGAAAUCCCUCGGCUUAACUGAGGAACUGCACGGGAUACUGCGAGACUUGAGUUCGGGAGAGGGAAGCGGAAUUCCGGGUGUAGCGGUGAAAUGCGUAGAUAUCCGGAGGAACACCGGUGGCGAAGGCGGCCUGCUGGGCAGUGGCUGACGCUGAGGCGCGACAGCGUGGGGAGCAAACAGG